AUUGUUAAACCUUCAUCGGGCUCGCUCUGUCGAGGUUGUCUGGCGAAAGCACCAUGCCCAAACCCCCUACAUUUUGACAAUUUGGCCUCAAAUCGGGUGGGAUCACCCGCUGAACUUAAGCAUAUCAAUAAGCGGAGGAAAAGAAACNACCCAAGCGNUUUUCNCNUNNNNGCGGGGGAAAGGGGAAAAACUNAAAUUUUGAAAUCUGGCGCCUUUGGCUCCCGAGUUGUAAUCUAGAGAAGUGUUUUCCGUAGCGGACCGUGUAAAAGUUCCCUGGAACGGGACGUCAUAGAGGGUGAGAAUCCCGUACAUGCCACGGACUACCGUUGCUUCUNGAUCACUCUCAACGAGUCGAGUUGUUUGGGAAUGCAGCUCAAAAUGGGUGGUAAAUUCCAUCUAAAGCUAAAUAUUGGCGAGAGACCGAUAGCGAAUAAGUACCGUGAGGGAAAGAUGAAAAGCACUUUGGAAAGAGAGUGAAACAGUACGUGAAAUUGUUGAAAGGGAAGCGUUUGGAGUCAGUCGCGUCUGGCGGGAUUCAGCCUUGCUUCUGCUUGGUGUAUUUCCUGUCCGAUGGGUCAGUGUCGAUUUUGACUGAGGGAGAAAGGCUUGGGGAAUGUGGCUGUCUUCGGGCAGUGUUAUAGCCCCUUGUUGUAUGUCUCAGUUGNNUUNAAGGAACGCAGCGUGCCUUUUGCCGGGGAUCGCUCCCUC
rnacentral:rRNA from 1 species